CCAAUGACCUUCUCCCUUGACACCACGGAAUGAUCAUCAUCACUGUCCCCCUGAUCAUCUUCAGGCAUGGAAGUUAUUGAUUUUUCGAUGUUUACUGCGCCCUUCGAUGAAUCUAGCCUUGCCAAUAUCUCCGGUUGGCUACGAUCGUUGCCUGUUUCUUGGAGUUGGAAGACUUCUUCAGGUGUGGUUUCAGUGACCUCAGCCAGGCAAGGGAUGGUUUCUUCAGCAGGAACCAUUUCAUCUUCGGGUUUGUCGCCAUCGACGCACCGCUCAGUAGGGAUGCUUCUGAGCCUGCUCCAGAACUCCUCAUCCUCUUCAGCUGGGCUCAUCUGCAAUCAUGCAAAGAGAACAACUGAGAAAAUGCAAAUUGGAUAAUUUUAUUGUCACCGCAUUUUGGGAACUUUCUCAUUCUACCCCAAUCAUCUGUCACAGGCAUGGUUGCUCACCUUAACAUCGCUGAGAUCGACCUUGUUCUCUCUGAGGAAGGCCUGGAAUUCCUGGAAGUUCUCUUCGGUGGGGCGGUAGUGCCCGCUGUGAGGCCAGAUAGCCUUCAGAACUCCAUCUUCGACAACCAGUCGCCCGGCAGCAGAUGUGGCGCCUCCAGCGAGAAAGCUAGAAUGCUGAAACGUGCCCUUUUUCUUCUGCAGAAAGUAGAGUUUUGGACAAUGUUAGAUUACUAUGAUUCAGUACACAUAGGUGAUAGGUCCAAUGCAGUGUUGGGUAUUGAUAGUACUCUAGUAUGAAGCCUGAACAUUACCUGCCCGACAUACAUAUUCCUGGAUGUGCUCAGCACAAAGAUCCAUUUUGCGUCCCUCGGACCGCCGGAGGUGUCGAGGAUUUGCCUGCUGUUCUUGUACAUGAACUUGCCAUCCUCAAUCACAACCUCAUAGUCCUCUCUCUCUUUCUGCAGGCACAACGAAAAUUCAGUUUGAAUCAUCAGUACCGCUGACCUCACAUGGGCUUGCAUUUCUACUCCAGCUAUACUAUACAUUUAUCCCAUGUACGUAAAAUGUUUGCAAAAACUUACCGGUCCAAGAUACUUGAUGCACUGGCUGAGAAGCUUGGACCGCGGGCACCGGUCCUCGAGGUUGAUCUCCUUGCCCUCUCCAAUGUCGAGCCUAAAGAACCAAACAUGGUGAUGAGUCUAUAAGGUACUUCAGCAUAAAGAUUCAGAAAUUCCAACAACCAUCAUCAGUUGAGCCGUGACACUCACCAGUAGAAGAAAGGCUCCCUGCUUUCGCACCUCAGCCAGCAGUCGUAGUAGUAGUGAAGGUUGUGGCCGUACCGGUGACGCGGGUCAAUCUGCUCGUCAGAAAUUGCAGGGCUCGCAUUAGCACAUACAGUACUUUUACAAAAAAGAGAACACAUCAACCUAACUGAACAUUUGGCAGUUUCUCUGAGGAAAGUACUCACAGCUUCAAGCCAGUGCUGCAAUGCGAGCUUCCGAGCUUUCUCAUCCUUGGAGAGCCCCUUUCCGACCUGAAAUCGCACGAAGCGUUAGCCGAAUUUCACGAAUGGAUAUGGCAAUCAUCAGAGAGAUUUCUUGAAGAAGGACCGGUUAAUUUCGGGAGAAGAACGUACUUUGGCGGCUCUGGUUCUGGCGCGCGCCCACUUGGACACGGCGGUCUCCUGCCGCUCGAUGUCGAAGAAGGAGACGGAGCUCCGCUUGAGCAGCGCGAAGUCCAGCAGCUCCCACCAGUUCUGCUCCACGAGCACGGCGCAGUCGGCGAGCCGGCGCCGCGUCCGGAAGCUCUUGUACACCUUCUGCAGCGUCACCGCCGCCGCCUCGUGCUUGGGGCUCUCCGGCGCCGGCACUCCCGCCGCGUCCGCGAACCGCGUCCGGAGGAGCUCCCUCGGCAUCGGCACCGGCACCGGCACCGGCGCGGUGACCGCGUCGACGGCGUCGGACGUGGUGAUGGGGAUCUUGGGCUCCACCAGCUGGAGCCGCUUGAAGCUGAGGGAGCCCUCGAUGCGGAGCUUGCCGGAGCCAAGCGAGGCCUUGAGGAACGUCGCCUGCUCCUCCGCCGCGACGAGGCCGCAUUCGCCCGCGCCGCCGUCCUCCUCCACGGGGCACGAGAAGAGCACGCCCAUCGCGCCGCGCAAGCUCAAAGCAGAGCAAAACCAACCGAAGCUCGCGAUUUCUCCUCGUGCCGAUCCUGUUUGACCCCGCUGGAUCCCACCUCGAGGCCGGUCGUCGACGAACAAGAGCGAGUGCAGUAGAGCUGUGGUAUGUCUGUAUGUAUGUAUUUCUUGGUGCGAGCGAGCGAACUACCGGGCUGGCUGCAGGAGCCACUGGGCGAAUAUAUAGCGGGAGGAGACCGAGCAGACCGGGCUGGCCAGUGGAGGGACGCGCGGUGAGGGUGGGCCACCGUCGGAUGCGGAAAAGCGUCGGGGGCCCCGCUCCGGAGUACCACGUGUUCAUGGGCGGAUGUCACGCGGGACGCCGGAGGUGCUGACCUGUCUCGGCUGACGGGAAGCGUGUCCCCGGGCUGCCUUGGAGAGUUGUGCCUGACUGACUGACUGCGUGUGGUUUCACCACCGCGUAGAUCAAAAAUUGAAUUUCACACUGGAGAGUGCACUACUAUCGCCGUGCACACGGCAACGCAUGGAAAGGCUAAGGAGAAAUUUGCGGGGAAAUGUUGACGGCAUCGAGACGAAAAUUUUAGUUUUAAAUUCGACCAUGGACUAAGACACACGAUCAAUAUGCACACGGUCGAUUAUCGCCAACGAAGUGGUCGUCGCCAAGUCCAUGUUGCUCCGUUUCUUACGUGUAUGGAAGCACUCACAUCAAAUGUGAUCACAAUCCAAGGCCUAGCGCAACCCUCUAUCUUGAUGAUGACAAAAAAUACGACAAGAUAGGAGAGGAAUAUAGACAUAAAUCCUAGUCACAAUUAAUGUUGUAUGUAACCUCUCGUUCUUAGGUUCCCCUCUUCUCUCAGGGCCUCACCUCUAGGCAUCGAGAGGUGAGGAAAACAAAGAACUAAUGUUGAAGGUUGGGUUUAGUGUUAUUUUAUCAUGACAUGUCUGUGUGUUCUUAACGUCAACACCUUAUAGGUGAUUGCAACGACACAUAAUAAAAAAGUUAUAUGACAUUCUUUCUGUCCUGGUGCAAUCAUUGUGGCCGACGCAUCUGAAAUCAAAGAGAGAGUAGUAUUCUGGCCCCGUGGAUCAACAACCUUCCAUUUUGUGGACCAUUACGCGACGAUUUUGGAUUGUCUUGGUGAUAUAUACAAGGUGGCCCGAUCUUUCGAUGAGAUAGUACAAAUUUUGUUUGUGGGGACUUUGGUGACAUGUCUAAGAAGACUUUGAUGAUCAUAUUUGACCAAACACUUGACAAUGUGUCUAAGCUAAACCAACUCUCUUAUGGUUAUUCAUGGUGUUGAAUACGCAAUCAACCUGGUAAAGAAGGUACUCCCUCCGUGCAACGAAAGGACAAGCAAUAGUUUAAUACAUACAAUUUGAGCUCAGACAUAAAUCGAAGUACUCGAUUAACAUGGUGGGGCAAUCACGACGAGUGUACAUGAGGUCUCGCCGAUUCUCGUGUCUAUGGCAAACGGUAGCAAACGCUAAAACUCAAAGUAAACUCUACAUGGUGAUCUAUCUAUGUAGGACAAAGGGGUGGACGCAUGUUCGAGGUAGCAAAAACACAAUCCUAGGUCGUACCGUUGGGGAACGUCGCAUGGGAAACAAAAAUUUUCCUACGCGCACGAAAACCUAUCAUGGUGAUGUCCAUCGACGAGAGGGGAUGAGUGAUCUACGUACCCUCGUAGACCGUACAGCAGAAGCGUUAGAGAACGCGGUUGAUGUAGUGGAACGUCCUCACGUCCCUCGAUCCGCCCCGCGAACAAUCCCGCGAUCAGUCCCACGAUCUAGUACCGAACGGACGGCACCUCCGCGUUCAGCACACGUACAGCUCGACGAUGAUCUCGGCCUUCUUGAUCCAGCAAGAGAGACGGAGAGGUAGAAGAGUUCUCCGGCAGCGUGACGGCGCUCCGGAGGUUGGUGAUGAUCUUGUCUCAGCAGGGCUCCGCCCGAGCUCCGCAGAAACGCGAUCUAGAGGAAAAACUAUGGAGGUAUGUGGUCGGGCAGCCGUGAGAAAGUCGUCUCAAAUCAGCCCUAAUUGCUCCAUAUAUAUAGGAGGAGGGAGGGGGGACCUUGCCUUGGGGUCCACGGACCCCCAAGGAGUCGGCCGAGCCAAGGGGGGGAGGACUCCCCCCCCAAACCGAGUUGGACUUGGUUUGGUGGAAGGAGUCCCCCUCCCUUCCCACUUCCUCCCACUUUUUUUUUCUUUUCCUUUGAUUUCUUAUUCUUGGCGCAUAGGCCCCCUUGGGGCUGUCCCACCAGCCCACUAAGGGCUGGUGUGUCUCCCCAAAGCCUAUGGGCUUCCCCGGGGUGGGUUGCCCCCCCCGGUGAACUCCCGGAACCCAUUCGUCAUUCCCGGUACAUUCCCGGUAACUCCGAAAACCUUCCGGUAAUCAAAUGAGGUCAUCCUAUAUAUCAAUCUUCGUUUCCGGACCAUUCCGGAAACCCUCGUGACGUCCGUGAUCUCAUCCGGGACUCCGAACAACAUUCGGUAACCAACCAUAUAACUCAAAUACGCAUAAAACAACGUCGAACCUUAAGUGUGCAGACCCUGCGGGUUCGAGAACUAUGUAGACAUGACCCGAGAGACUCCUCGGUCAAUAUCCAAUAGCGGGACCUGGAUGCCCAUAUUGGAUCCUACAUAUUCUACGAAGAUCUUAUCGUUUGAACCUCAGUGCCAAGGAUUCGUAUAAUCCCGUAUGUCAUUCCCUUUGUCCUUCGGUAUGUUACUUGCCCGAGAUUCGAUCGUCAGUAUCCGCAUACCUAUUUCAAUCUCGUUUACCGGCAAGUCUCUUUACUCGUUCCGUAAUACAAGAUCCCGCAACUUACACUAAGUUACAUUGCUUGCAAGGCUUGUGUGUGAUGUUGUAUUACCGAGUGGGCCCCGAGAUACCUCUCCGUCACACGGAGUGACAAAUCCCAGUCUUGAUCCAUACUAACUCAACUAACACCUUCGGAGAUACCUGUAGAGCAUCUUUAUAGUCACCCAGUUACGUUGCGACGUUUGAUACACACAAAGCAUUCCUCCGGUGUCAGUGAGUUAUAUGAUCUCAUGGUCAUAGGAAUAAAUACUUGACACGCAGAAAACAGUAGCAACAAAAUGACACGAUCAACAUGCUACGUCUAUUAGUUUGGGUCUAGUCCAUCACGUGAUUCUCCCAAUGACGUGAUCCAGUUAUCAAGCAACAACACCUUGUUCAUAAUCAGAAGACACUGACUAUCAUCGAUCAACUGGCUAGCCAACUAGAGGCAUGCUAGGGAUGGUGUUUUGUCUAUAUAUCCACACAUGUAAAUGAGUCUUCAUUCAAUACAAUUAUAGCAUGGAUAAUAAACUAUUAUCUUGAUACAGGAAUUAUAAUAAUAACUAUAUUUAUUAUUGCCUCUAGGGCAUAAUUCCAACAGUCUCCCACUUGCACUAGAGUCAAUAAUCUAGCCCUCACAUCACAAUGCGAAUUACAUUGUAAUAAAUCUAACACCCAUACAGUUCUGGUGUCGAUCAUGUUUUGGCCGUGGAAGAGGUUUACUCAGCGGGUCUGCUACAUUCAGAUCCGUGUGCACUUUGCAUAUAUUUAUGUCCUCUUCCUCGACAUAGUCGUGGAUGAGGUUGAAGCGUCGUUUGAUGUGUCUGGUCUUCUUGUGAAACCGUGGUUCCUUUGCUAAGGCAAUGGCACCCGUGUUGUCAGAGAACAAGGUUAUUGGAUCCAGUGCACUUGGCACCACUCCAAGAUCCGUCAUGAACUUCUUCAUCCAGACACCCUCCUUAGCCGCCUCCGAGGCAGCCAUGUACUCCGCUUCACAUGUAGAAUCUGCUACGACGCUUUGCUUGGAACUGCACCAGCUUACCGCACCCCCAUUAAGAAUAAAUACGUAUCCGGUUUGCGACUUAGAGUCGUCCGGAUCUGUGUCAAAGCUUGCAUCGACGUAACCUUUUACGGCGAGCUCUUCGUCACCUCCAUACACGAGAAACAUCUCCUUAGUCCUUUUCAGGUACUUCAGGAUAUUCUUGACCGCUGUCCAGUGAUCCACUCCUGGAUUNGUAUUUGAAAAUAAAAAUAAAGUCUCAGGUUGAUCGACAAGGAAGGAAAAACUUGUCUUCAGCGCUUGGACAGCUCAUUUUGACUUGGUCUUGAGCGAGCAGAGAGCGAACCGAGUAGUACAUAAACUACGAACCGAAGUCGACCCCAAAAGUCUCAAGUCUCUUUCACACACGAACGUGUGCGAUGAGCGGAGCCAGGUGGAUUUCACAUGAGGCUACGCUGCCUCCAUCCUUUCCCCUACAUUCAGUUUAGCCCUUGUUAAAUGUUGGGUCAUGGUGAGGUAAACCUUGUUAAAUGUUGGGUCAUGGUGAGGUAAACCUUGUUAAAUGUUGAGCAUAUGACAUGGUGAUGUGUGUUUCCGUUUUUUUUAUAAAAAAAAAAGGAAUACCGUGUGCACGCCAUAGUAAGCAACAUAUGCUAAUUUUUGAAGUGUUUCUUAUCCCUGUAAGAAGGCCCACCAAUCCUGAAUUUCAAUUUUUGACGAAUGAAUUAGUAGUAGCAUCACCUUUUGCUGGGCACUUCUUUGAGAUAAAACCUUCUUGGCAUUCCGAAGCUAUGUUCCUUCUGAUGAUAUUGCCUUAAAACUCCAAUCACCGUUCUGUAGUUGGAAAUGUUGCAAAUUGCAUUCUCUCGGAAGGGGAAUAAUACAAGACCAAAGAAUGAAAGAAUUUGUAUUGAUCUCUGUAUUUGUGUCCAAUUUGAACAUCACGUAUACACACAUCACUACAAGAUCUACACAAGGAGUACUUCGUUUUGCUCCCAAUAACUUUAUUCCCCUACCAUAUGCACAACUGAUGAACAAGAAUAGCUCGUUCAUCAUAAACUGAUCAGUAGUCCCUGCUGCAGAUGCGUGGCAUGGAACGCCUCUCUCGGCGUCAGCGGCUCACAGCCUCUCGACAUCGGGCUGCCACCCCUCUGUGGCGACGAGAACCGCGACGUCGCCCUGCCGCCCCUCCUCGGCGACAGGUGCACCUCCUCCAGCGCCCGGUGCUGGAGCUCCGGCGGGUAGUCCCUGACGCACACGAUCCGGGGUCCGGCGCCGGUGGUCCACUUGAAGGACACUUGCUUCCCCAGCUGAUAUGAGUUGACCCUCCCAAUGACCUUCUCCCUUGACACCACGGAAUGAUCAUCAUCACUGUCCCCCUGAUCAUCUUCAGGCAUGGAAGUUAUUGAUUUUUCGAUGUUUACUGCGCCCUUCGAUGAAUCUAGCCUUGCCAAUAUCUCCGGUUGGCUACGAUCGUUGCCUGUUUCUUGGAGUUGGAAGACUUCUUCAGGUGUGGUUUCAGUGACCUCAGCCAGGCAAGGGAUGGUUUCUUCAGCAGGAACCAUUUCAUCUUCGGGUUUGUCGCCAUCGACGCACCGCUCAGUAGGGAUGCUUCUGAGCCUGCUCCAGAACUCCUCAUCCUCUUCAGCUGGGCUCAUCUGCAAUCAUGCAAAGAGAACAACUGAGAAAAUGCAAAUUGGAUAAUUUUAUUGUCACCGCAUUUUGGGAACUUUCUCAUUCUACCCCAAUCAUC
rnacentral:lncRNA from 1 species